rnacentral:snRNA from 1 species
AUUCUUACCUGGACGGGGUCAAUGGAUGAUCAAGAAGGUCCAUGGCUUAGGUUAACGACCUCCAUUGCACUUUGGAGGGGCGUUCGCCUAAGAUCUCCGUAAUGUGGGGACCUAGUUAGUUGUGUUGGAGCUUAUGUUUGUUCAGGAGUGGUUU